AUAAGAGAAUGGUAACCUCGGUUUAAAAAUAUCCGGUUUGCAAAUGUUGUGUCAGAGCUGGGGAAAUUUUAUUUUAGAAAUCAUUUUAAUGCAAUCUUCUCAACUGCCUUAGCAUAAAUGCAAAAUAAAUAUUUGUUCAGUAUUUUCUUGCUAGGACAUUUUAAUAAAACCUGGAAUUUUAUGACACAUGCAAACAUAUCUCAGGAUCAAAUACUAUAUGAUGCCAAGCUGAAGAAGAAACUAUAAGCAGGAACUCCCCAAAACAUGCAACAUUUGAAAAUGGCUGAAUUUAAUUUUUUUCUAAGGAUGAGACCAAGAACUUGGUGAUAUCUAUGGGUCAUAGAGUCACUGCUGUGAUUGCAUGCAAGGGAUUUGCAGUAGGAGGAGCCAUGUGUACAUAUAUAAGAGGUACAGUCAGAACAUCACAGGACAUUACAGCCAGCAGCAAAACAAUCCACACCAGAGGAGACCCAGACAGCAAGAUGGUUCCAGUGUUGAUGUUACUCAUGG
ensembl:lncRNA